rfam:Ovis aries breed Texel chromosome 3, whole genome shotgun sequence.
UCCCUGGUGGUCUAGUGGUUAAGACUCUGUGCUUGUACUGCAGGGGGCAUGGGUUCAAUCCCUAGUUAGGGAA